UUUAUUCUCUGCUCCUCAUCAACACAUAUGGUUAGAAGUUGAUUCAUAGUCCAUUUUUCUGUAUGUGUGUUGUAUGAGAUCUUAAAUGGUGCAUAUUCCAUAGGCAGAGAAUUAAGAACAAAGUGUACAAGAAAAAUCUUUGAUAUGUCUACUUUCAAUGAUUUUAAUUGGGCAGCGAUGUCAUGCAAUUCCAUAAUGUGCUCGCGUAUACUACCAUUAUCAUUAUACUUU
rnacentral:lncRNA from 1 species